rnacentral:lncRNA from 1 species
CGGUAUGUAGGUGGAAUGAACAGCAGGCAUUGAAGAUAUUCUUCGUGUGAAGGGUUUAGGUAGAACUAACCACAAAUGAAUUGAAGGGUUAGAAUUGGUCUAAUCAUAGUGCUAUCGAUAUAAUUGCUAUAUGAUUAGUAACAUAUGUCGGUACAAAUGUCGCACUGUAUGUACUCUAAAUAAACUGAACAAGUAGCGUAUAGUGACAUUAAGAAACCAUGGUAUUGCUGUCGUUAGGAGUUGCAACGAAUACUUGCCUUGUUAAAGUUUUUAUUAACUUCUAAUUGUUUUUGAGUGUCGAAAACGAAGUAAAUUUGAGUAAAACAUCAGGAUUAAUUC